rnacentral:rRNA from 1 species
AGCGGAGGGAUCAUUACCGAGUUUACAACUCCCAAACCCCAUGUGAACAUACCUGUUUCGUUCCCUCGGCGGUGUCCGGCAACGGCCCGCCAGAGGACCCAACAAACUCUUUUGAAUUUUUCAGUAUCUUCUGAGUGAAAAAAACAAUAAAUCAAAACUUUCAACAACGGAUCUCUUGGUUCUGGCAUCGAUGAAGAACGCAGCGAAAUGCGAUAAGUAAUGUGAAUUGCAGAAUUCAGUGAAUCAUCGAAUCUUUGAACGCACAUUGCGCCCGCCAGUAUUCUGGCGGGCAUGCCUGUUCGAGCGUCAUUUCAACCCUCAAGCACCUUCGGGAGCUUGGUGUUGGGGAUCGGCAGGGCGUCCUCCGGGUCGCGCCGUCCCCCAAAUUUAGUGGCGGUCUCGCUGUAGCUUCCUCUGCGUAGUAAUACACCUCGCUCUGGAGUCUCGGUGCGACCACGCCGUAAAACCCCCAACUUUUUUCUGGUUGACCUCGA